rnacentral:rRNA from 1 species
GUGGGGAAUAUUGGACAAUGGGCGAAAGCCUGAUCCAGCCAUGCCGCGUGAGUGAUGAAGGCCUUAGGGUUGUAAAGCUCUUUCAGUAGGGAAGAUAAUGACGGUACCUACAGAAGAAGCCCCGGCUAACUUCGUGCCAGCAGCCGCGGUAAUACGAAGGGGGCUAGCGUUGUUCGGAUUUACUGGGCGUAAAGCGCACGUAGGCGGAUUGGUCAGUUAGAGGUGAAAUCCUGGAGCUCAACUCCAGAACUGCCUUUAAUACUGCCAGUCUAGAGUCCAGAAGAGGUGAGUGGAACUCCUAGUGUAGAGGUGGAAUUCGUAGAUAUUAGGAAGACCACCAGUGGCGAAGGCGGCUCACUGGUCUGGUACUGACACUGAGGUGCGAAAGCGUGGGGAGCAAACAGGAUUAGAAACCCCGGUAGUCC